AAUUUCAGUCCUAAUAGGCAUUGAUCCUGUGGCCGGUGCAACUCGUAAUAUCCUCACCUAUUCCCCUCAAUCUUUCGACCUCUCGAUUCCAGUCACAGUGAUCGGCACUGGCCUGGGACCGGAAAGUAAAAAUCCUUGCAUGCCACCUUGUGCCCAAUAUGGCGCGAACCACAAGGAGUUCUUCUAUGAGUGCAAGCCUCCAUGUGCACAUUUUGUUGUGAAGGACUAUGGUCACAUGGACAUGUUGGACGACGAUCCACAGGGCAUGGUUGGGGCAGUGUCGGGGUGCAUGUGUAAAAACGGGACAGGACCGAGGGAGCUAAUGAGGAAGACUGUGGGUGGGAUUGUUGUGGCGUUUCUGAAUGCUUAUUUGAAUGGUGAUGAUAAGGAUUUGGUUGCCAUUGUUGGCGAUCCUGAUAGUUCUCCUGCAAAGCUUGAACCUGUGGAGUUCAUUAGAGCAUAAGUUCAAGCUCAAGGUCGUCUUGAUAAUAGUCACCGACAUUAGCUGCACAUAUUAGCACAUAAAGAGGGGGUUAUAAAGCCUAUCAGUGGCUAAUUUCGGUGAUUAUUUUCAGGCUUUCUUCGAGGGUUAUUCAGAUCCUAGAGUGUUAUUUUCGAAUAAACAGCUCGGCCAUCAAAUGUGUGUGCCCAAGUACUGAAAUUUGGGGGUUUAUAUGUACUAGAACCAUCUCAAGUUUAUUAUGAAUUUCGGUUUAGAUAUGUAUUUAAAUGUCAUAAGAUAAAAUGUUAGAUGAUGAUGCGGUAAAUUGACAUUUUGUAAAUAUCUUGCUCCAACCGAGAUGCCGAAUAAAAAUACUGUUUUAUUAUUGCUAAAAGCAGUAGCUAGCACUUAAUACUGACACAGUGAAUACAGUGAAGGAAGAAAACAAAAUGAUGCCUCCAUAUGACAGCAUCAAAUUUGGUAGUUUAGGCGACGCCAACCCACCAAACUUUGACAUCUCGCUUCAACCAAAAAAAUAUAGCACCUCUUCUUGUUGUCAAAACAGUCCACGGUGUAGCAGAUCAGUUGGAGAUGCUCAAAAAAGUGAGUUAAAUUUUAAUACUUAGGGUCAUCCAACUGCUAACAGUUUCUUGUAACAUAAGUUCCUCACAAAGUAUAUAUGUACUGAAAUAGUAAAACUUGUUAGAUCUAAAUGGUGAAUGUGUUUUGGUUGAACCAUGAUCAUCUCAGAAUUUUACAUCAUCGUGCCGUUCCAUUUCUUGUAAAGGAUGUCCCUUGCAUUUUGGUUGAACCUUGUCCCCAGUUACUAAUUUACUAUAGAAAUAUCCCCUCCAUUUUCACUCUUGUGAAACUCUUUAUCUUGAACAUCCUCGCCUGUUUGCUUCACAUUAAUCUUUGCUGUGUUCGAUGAUGAUGGUUCGCCAUCCACAGGGGACCUCUCUUGACCAAAAUUCCUAGUCUCCAGGGCUGGAUUUCUUCCACAAAAGAGAAGGGAAGCCCCGAACGGUUGAUACUAUUCUUCGAGGGGGAUAUUUUUUUAACUGCAGUCUUCUCCAGACCAUUUCCAUUAGAAAUGGAGAUGGAUCCAUUGGGUGGUGAAUCAGGCACAACAGCAGCCAUCUCUUCAUUUGGUGCUGAUGUGGGUUCUUCAACGAAUCAGAUAUUUCAUGCAGCAAUGCAUUUAAAUCAACUCUCUCCACAGUACCAAAAGCCUCGCCGUUAAUCAAUGCAGUUUCAUUUACCGAACCAGUCGAUACCAUUUGGGUUUCAAAUUCGGCAGUACCCACAAACUCUGUCUCUUCAACCGGCCUCGAACUUUUUAACCCAUGUAGAUUGUUUGGCAAAUCAGAUAUUUCAUGCUCUUCAGAUUGCUACUGAUUCAAUUCUCUCCACAGUACCCACAUCAUUACCGUUCAUCAAGUCAGCCCAUCCACAUGACCAUUUGCGAGCCCGAGCUUGUCAACCCCGUGUCCAUCGCCAUUUUCACCCCUACUAACCAAGCUUUUUGUUGCUACACACUCAAAACUUCCCCUAGAAGCAGCCCCUCAUCAACCCUUAACUGACCAAACCGUCCGCACGCCGGGGGAAAAUCACGAACCGCAGAGACUGUGCGCCUCUUUAACUUGGGAACACCGUAAGAGCACUCUCCAUUUUCCAUGGAUUGUGCCUAUCUUCCCUCAGAGUGACUACCAUUAAGUUGAGCAAUUCGCCUCGAUGAUUUCGAAUGCUGCAUCGCCUCUACGACCCCCAUCGCAAUUCCAAAUCGCCUCUACAACCACAAUUAUUCGCAACGGCCUAAUCCAACAACAAAACCAAUUAAGCAACAACUUCAGUCUCAAGAUUCAGAGUAAUUAAAAAUAAUCGCGAUGAUUAUAUACUAAUUCAAAUUCCAAAGUACAAACAACCAACGAUUCAAAGUAGAAACAGAGAAAAUUAACGAAGAAAAACUUACUAGUUGAUGGAUAAUCCGGCGCGUAACAGUCGGGCGAUUGCAGGAGAAACGCCAUUUUUUUGAGAUACUUGGGAGGAGGUUUCUGGAAGGUGAUUUAGGGAGUGUUUGGCAAACUCUGCAAGCUUAGCGCGCGCUUCAGCGGCGACCUCGCGAAAUGACGCGAUGUGGCCAAGGAAGAAGACGACCCAACGGCUUGUUUUCUCUUCGCGGAACGGAGCAUUUUGGCUCAAAGGUGUUUUAGGAGACUGUUCGUCCCUCUACAAGUGACGUGGCGCUCAUUGCAUGCAUGGUGUGAGAGCACUACGAAUUCAAGAAAAGAUUUUUCAAUGUGACCGGUACAUGAGAUGGUAUAUCACGUGUCAUUAUACAAAUUGUGAGAUAUGUGUGUUAAAAAGUUAACAACUUAAAAAAUAAAAUUUCAAACCACUUCUAUUAAAAUACGUGGUCUACCACUUGUGUUCCUAUCUCGAUUAAAAAUUUGUCGAAUUCAAGGCUCUUGUUGAUUUCUAUAUUAGUGUGUUGACGCACUUGGAAUGAAUCUGGUGUGAUUGACACACAGUUACGGUUAUAUAAAGUAAUCAUAGAAUUAACGUUAAACUGUAUAGCAACAAAGAAUCAUAUUAUUUUUUACAUAAUAUUUUAUAACGUUGGUUUAAAAAUUAAUGUUAAACUUAACAGCAUUUUUCUUGAUAAAAUAAGCGACAGUUGAGGCAUUGCCAAUGUAUAUGCUGACUUAGAUUUCUCCACAUAGAUUCUCCCAUUAAUCCCCAAAACGAUGAAAUUUCAAAGCAUAUUGGAGGCAAAGGAGAAUAAUGUCAUUUUAUUUUCUUUUUUGGAAAACAUAAUGUCUUUAUACAGUUGUCAAUACUCAAUAUACUCACAGCCUCUCGCACGAGGCGACAGGAGUGGUACUAUAAUCCUUGGCUUAAUUAGCCCCACUUGGAUUUGGACCCUUUCACUCAAGCCGACAGGAGUGGUCCUAUAAUCCUGCAUUUUCCAUGUGCUUCACAAGUCCUUUUGUUUUCAUUUAAUCAAACUUAUCUUUUCUUCCAAUUUUUUCCAGCCAGGUCUAAACUGAUCCUCUAAAGUUGGCAGUCGGCCAAACUUUGGAUUCACCAUUAAAAAGAACCGAAGGUCACAUUACAUAGUUCUCACUUGCAUUGAGCCCCAUGGCACUUGUGGAAAAAAAUAUGUCUUCUGCUCAGCCUGCACUGACUACAUCUGUUUUUAAUCUAGGAAAUUGCCCCUUCAAAUGCAUCACGGAGGAGACACCACUGUCUUCCUGCUUUGAUUCUUCAGCACCUCCAAAGCCCUUGUUCAUUGUUACACCGACGGUAGCAGGCACUUACCCUCUAAUCUUGCUUCAUCACGGCUUCUACCUCCGCAACUACUUCUACAAGGAGUUACUCCAGCACAUAGCUUCACAUGGAUUCAUAGCUGUAGCACCUCAGGUAAUAUUGUCUUACCAUUUUAUAUUAACGUCCAAUACAAUUUCAGAAUUAAUUUAUUUUGUGUUAAUCCAACAAUUGUCGUCCAUGAAAUUUUUGGUCCAAUCUACUCUGUCAAAUGGGUUAUGAGUGUUUGAAAAUGCUUCUCCAGAAACCAUAUAUGCCCGUAAGAACUUUUGUUUUCUUAAAAAACACUUGAAAUUGCUUCCUUAGAAAGCACCUAGAACUUUCAAGUUCUUUAAUUUAAACCAAUGUUUUAAAAAAACUAGCCUCGGGGUGUGCCAAGGGCGUCCUUGAGGCUAGGCGCGAAGGCUAACGCCUCUGUUUUGCAGAAGUGGGCGGAAGGUAUCGCCGGAGCCGCCUAGGCGAGCCUUAGGGAUUUUUUUUUUUACUUCCAAACCCAAAUUUUGGGUAGGGUUUUAACUGCUUCAUACAUCUUCCUUGCGCUAUCGUCUCUCUGUCUUUUUCUGAUUUUUAUUUUUUUUAUAUAAUGGAUGUGUGUGCUGUCUACAUGCAUUGUUAUAUGUGUGCUUAUUGUGCUUUUCAUCCUCUAUUAGUUAUAUAUAUAUAUAAUAUAAUAUAUGUAUAUAUGUGCAUAUAUAUAUUUAUAAUAUAUGUGUGUGUUCAAUAUGAUUAUUGAUUAAUAAUCUUUUUUUUAAUAUAAUAUAUGUGUACACUCAGUGUAUAUAUUAAAAAUUUUAGGUCUUGUGAGGCUUCACCUCACGUCUAGGCUGGGCUAUCCUUCAGACGCCUUACCCACACCUCCCGCUUUUAAUACAUUGAUUUAAACUCCUUUUCAUUAUCCAAAAAAUAUUUUCACCAUUUUAAAUGAACUUUCAAACAAACUUUUAAUUUAGAAAUUGACUAAAAUUAUCAUCAAUCAAAUCUGAAUUGAUAAAUUGAUUAAAAUCAAAUAAUUGUCAUACAAUGUCGACCUCAUAGCAAUCAAAUAUUGACAAUACUGAAAAAUUGAUCAUUUCAGAAAUUGAUAUUUGAAAAAAAACAUAUAUUUUGGCCAAUUUAAUAAAUUUUCUGACAACAGAAUUAAUUGUGAGUUUGUUUUUUUCUUUUUGAUCAGUUAUGUGGGGUUGUGCCUCCAUGUGGACCUGAAGAAGUAGAGUCGGGAGCAAAAGUCAUAAACUGGUUGCCAAAAGGCCUCCAACCUCUGCUGCCAGAAAAUGUUGUAGCAGACUUCACCAAAUUUGCUCUUGCAGGCCACAGCAGAGGUGGGAAAACAGCAUUUGCAAUAGCACUUGGGCGUGCCAAAACUUCCCUGUCCCUCAAAAUUUCACUCCUAAUAGGCAUUGAUCCUGUGGCCGGUGCAAAUCGAUACUGCAGAACACGUCCUCGUAUCCUCACCUAUUCCCCUCAAUCUUUCGACCUCUCGAUUCCAGUCAUAGUGAUCGGCGCUGGCCUGGGACCGGAAGGUAAAAAUGCUUGCAUGUCAAAACCUUGUGCCCCAGAUGGCGUGAACCACAAGGAUUUCUUCUAUGAGUGCAAGCCUCCAUGUGCACAUUUUGUUGUGAAGGACUAUGGUCACAUGGACAUGUUGGACGACGAUCCACAGGGCAUGGUUGGGGCAGUGUCGGGGUGCAUGUGUAAAAACGGGACAGGA
rnacentral:lncRNA from 1 species